rnacentral:ncRNA from 1 species
CAGAGAACAAGGAUGGAAGAUGAGUACGUACAAUGUUCUAUUGGUACAGAGAUGCUGUGGUCGGUGCGAACAGCGAAGACAUAGUACGGAAAUUGGGCUUCCGGAGUUUUACCGUAUAUCGGCGUUAACGAUUGAAGUCGGCUGUAUGAUCGCAAUACAGCAAUUAGGGUGGCACCGCGAGCAUUCGUCCCUGCA